UACGGAGGGAGCUAGCGUUGUCCGGAUUUACUGGGCGUAAAGAGCGCGCAGGCGGUCGUUCAAGUCGAGUGUGAAAGCCCCCCGGCUCAACUGGGGAGGGUCACUCGAUACUGAUCGACUUGAAGGCAGGAGAGGGAAGCGGAAUUCCCGGUGUAGUGGUGAAAUGCGUAGAUAUUGUCAAGAACACCGAUUGCGUAGGCAGCUUACUA
rnacentral:rRNA from 1 species